AGGAGAGCGAACUUCCUUUAGAUGAGCUCCUUGCUAGGUAUAAAGAGGAUUUUGAUACUGAUGAAUAUGUUGACGAUGAUUCUGAAUCAUAUGCGUCUGCUUCUGAUGAACUCCUGGAUUCUCCAGCACACAAUGAAUCUGAACCUGUUCGAGUAAACGAUGUACCAUGCGAUGUACUGCCCACUACAGUCGCUGAGGAUGGAGAA
rnacentral:misc_RNA from 1 species